rnacentral:rRNA from 1 species
AUUGAACGCUGGCGGCAGGCUUAACACAUGCAAGUCGAGCGGGGGAAGGUAGCUUGCUACCGGACCUAGCGGCGGACGGGUGAGUAUGCUUAGGAAUCUGCCUAUUAGUGGGGGACAACAUCUCGAAAGGGAUGCUAAUACCGCAUACGUCCCACGGGAGAAAGCAGGGGAUCUUCGGACCUUGCGCUAAUAGAUGAGCCUAAGUCGGAUUAGCUAGUUGGUGGGGUAAAGGCCUACCAAGGCGACGAUCUGUAGCGGGUCUGAGAGGAUGAUCCGCCACACGGGGACUGGGACACGGCCCAGACUCCGACGGGAGGCAGCAGUGGGGAAUAUUGGACAAUGGGGGGAACCCUGAUCCAGCCAUGCCGCGUGUGUGAAGAAGGCCUUAUGGUUGUAAAGCACUUGAAGCGAGGAGGAGGCUACUUUAGUUAACACCUAGAGAUAGUGGACGUUACUCGCAGAAUAAGCACCGGCUAACUCUGUGCCAGCAGCCGCCGUAA